rnacentral:rRNA from 1 species
GAUGAACGCUGGCGGUCUGCUUAACACAUGCAAGUCGAACGAACUCUUCGGAGUGAGUGGCGGACGGGUGAGUAACGCGUGAGAAUCUGCCUGUGGGUCGGGGACAACCACUGGAAACGGUGGCUAAUACCGGAUGAGCCGAAAGGUAAAAGAUUUAUUGCCCACAGAUGAGCUCGCGUCUGAUUAGCUAGUUGGUAAGGUAAAAGCGUACCAAGGCGACGAUCAGUAGCUGGUCUGAGAGGAUGAGCAGCCACACUGGGACUGAGACACGGCCCAGACUCCUACGGGAGGCAGCAGUGGGGAAUUUUCCGCAAUGGGCGAAAGCCUGACGGAGCAAGACCGCGUGGGGGAGGAAGGCCUUCGGGUCGUAAACCUCUGUCACCGGGGAGCAACAAGCAGGUUGAUAGCCUGCCCCUGAGUUUAACCCGGAGAGGAAGCAGUGGCUAACUCCGUGCCAGCAGCCGCGGUAAU